UAAAUAAAUAAAUAAUAAAUUAUAAACUUACCAAAAACUAUUGGAACCGAAGUCGAUUCCAGCUCGGUUAACCGAUGGCUACUACUAAGCGGAGAGUCGGAAAGAAUACUGAGCCUUCCCUCCACAGGGUAUGUAAAAAAUACGGUAGGUUAGGUCACCGGGUCGGGAAGAAAGAAACCUACCUGCCAGAUGGGACACCUGUCCUUCUCCCUGUUGUUGUCGCCUGGCGUGUGCCGAGUUACACUAAAGCCCGGGGGUGGCCAUCAGUAAACAUCCGAUAACAUAACAACCGGCUAAGGUGACCUAAGUCUGGAGAAGGACGCGGUGGACAAACAACUGGCCUAGAUAGCGUAAGGAUGUCGAAACCGGCCUAUGACUACUUUGUUACGUUGCGCAGAGGGACGUAAGGUAGACAGGAAAGGCGCCUUUCCGUUGGAAGCUUACGUCUUUCUGUUGGAAUAUUUUGAAUCCUAUCAUAGUUACAACGAUAGAAGCGAAUAUUUUGAAUCCUCUCAUAGUCACAAUGAUAGAAGCGAAUAUUUUAAUAAGUAGAAACAAACAAUCGUCUUUUCUAUGGACC
rnacentral:lncRNA from 1 species